GACGAACGCUGGCGGCGUGCUUAACACAUGCAAGUCGAGCGGUAAGGCCCUUUCGGGGUACGACGAGCGGCGAACGGGUAGGAGUAACAACGUGGGUGGACCUCGCCCUCCAGCUCUGGGAGUAAAGCCGUCGGGAAACCGGGGUACCGUAAUAACUGGAGUAUGACUCCCAUGACGCAUGUUGUGGGGUGGAAAGACCUUGUGCGGCUGAGGAGUGGGCCCGGCCGGCCUAUCAGCUUGUUGGUGGGGUGGAUGGCCUACCAAGGCGACGACGGGUAGCCGGCCUGAGAGGGCGACCGGCCACACUGGGACUGAGACACGGCCCAGACUCCUACGGGAGGGCAGCAGUGGGGAAGUCUUGCGCAAUGGGCGAAAGCCUGACGCAGCGACGCCGCGUGAGGGAUGACGG
rnacentral:rRNA from 1 species